AACAAUGUAAAGAGAGUUUUUCUACUCUUAAAGGCAGCAUAUAACAUUGGGGGUCACAUCAUCAGUGCAGACACUAUACAGAGUUCUGUCCUAGGUUGCAGAAUGUCUCGUCCUGGGCAGCCAAAUUUAAAUGCAUCAUCCAAGGUUUUCUUAAGUGAGCGUGCUGUUCCCGUUGCAAUAUUUGAAACUGAUGCUGAAAUAAUGAAGCAUUAUGUGCGGAGAUGGUGCAAGAUUUCAUCAGAUGUGGGCAUUCGAUCCAUUAUUGACUGGUG